GGCAGAGUUUGAGAUUUUCCUGAGCUGAGAGAGGGAGAGGCAGUAAAGGUCAGGGAGUUAGAUGCCUGUGAAUAAAUCUGGCUGGGCCUCCAACAGUAGUCUGAUUUGGGAAUAUGGGCCUUCACUUUGGAAUUAUAACAGAAGAUAUUGAAAUGCUACCAUAAACUGUUUCUCCUCUGUGAUGCCAUUCUGCCACAGCACCUUGCCUUAGAGCCAGCUGAUGAUGGACUAAAACCUCUACAACUGUGAGCCAAAAUAAACCUUUCCUCCUUUAACUUUGAGUAUUGGAUAUUUUGUUUCAAGAAGAAGAAAUUAACCAAGAUGGACUGUUUAGAAUCUUUUAAUUUCAGGUCUGGAUCUCAUUUAACCUCUUUUCCAUCUAUACUUAUGGAGCAAGCGCCCUUUCAUUCAGGAAUAUCACCUUGGUCACAUGUCAGAGUCCUCUGCUAUGAUAUUACUUAUGAGAUCUUCUUUACUUCAUUAAGAUUUGUG
rnacentral:lncRNA from 1 species